GACGAACGCUGGCGGUGUGCUUAACACAUGCAAGUCGAACGAAGAGCGAUGGAAGCUUGCUUCUAUCAAUCUUAGUGGCGAACGGGUGAGUAACGCGUAAUCAACCUGCCUUCAGAGGGGGAUAACAGUUGGAAACGACUGCUAAUACCGCAUACGAUCUGAUCUCGGCAUCGAGGAUAGAUGAAAGGUGGCCUCUACAUGUAAGCUAUCACUGAAGGAGGGGAUUGCGUCUGAUUAGCUAGUUGGAGGGGUAACGGCCCACCAAGGCGAUGAUCAGUAGCCGGUCUGAGAGGAUGAACGGCCACAUUGGGACUGAGACACGGCCCAGACUCCUACGGGAGGCAGCAGUGGGGAAUCUUCCGCAAUGGACGAAAGUCUGACGGAGCAACGCCGCGUGAGUGAUGACGGCCUUCGGGUUGUAAAGCUCUGUUAAUCGGGACGAAAGGCCUUCUUGCGAAUAGUAGAAGGAUUGACGGUACCGGAAUAGAAAGCCACGG
rnacentral:rRNA from 1 species